rnacentral:rRNA from 1 species
GCCCUUUGCGGGCAGCUUUACCAUGCAGUCGAACGGUAACAGGGUGCUUGCACCGCUGACGAGUGGCGAACGGGUGAGUAAUGCAUCGGAAUGUACCGUGUAAUGGGGGAUAGCUCGGCGAAAGCCGGAUUAAUACCGCAUACGCCCUGAGGGGGAAAGUGGGGGACCGUAAGGCCUCACGUUAUACGAGCAGCCGAUGUCUGAUUAGCUAGUUGGUGGGGUAAAGGCUCACCAAGGCGACGAUCAGUAGCGGGUCUGAGAGGAUGAUCCGCCACACUGGGACUGAGACACGGCCCAGACUCCUACGGGAGGCAGCAGUGGGGAAUUUUGGACAAUGGGCGCAAGCCUGAUCCAGCCAUGCCGCGUGUCUGAAGAAGGCCUUCGGGUUGUAAAGGACUUUUGUCCGGGAGCAAAUCCCAGUGGUUAACACCUACUGGGGCUGAGAGUACCGGAAGAAUAAGCACCGGCUAACUACGUGCCAGCAGCCGCGGUAAUACGUAGGGUGCAAGCGUUAAUCGGAAUUACUGGGCGUAAAGCGUGCGCAGGCGGUUGUGCAAGUCUGAUGUGAAAGCCCCGGGCUUAACCUGGGAACGGCAUUGGAGACUGCACGACUAGAGUGCGUCAGAGGGGGGUAGAAUUCCGCGUGUAGCAGUGAAAUGCGUAGAGAUGCGGAGGAAUACCGAUGGCGAAGGCAGCCCCCUGGGAUGACACUGACGCUCAUGCACGAAAGCGUGGGGGAGCAAACAGGAUUAGAUACCCUGGUAGUCCACGCCCUAAACGAUGUCACUAGCUGUUGGGGGUUUGAAUCCUUGGUAGCGAAGCUAACGCGAGAAGUUGACCGCCUGGGGAGUACGGCCGCAAGGUUAAAACUCAAGGAAUUGACGGGGACCCGCACAGCGGUGGAUGAU